UUUUCGAAAGCCUUUGUGCAAGUAGUGUCCAGCGUUCCUUCCUUCCUUGCCUGCCUGUCUGCCUGAUCUGAUCUCAUUUUGAUUCACUGAUUUUCCUGCUCUGCCUUGUCCACGUCAGAUACUUCAUUGACUUCUGCUUUGUGGACAAACAACCUUGCUUCUGCCUCCUGACCAACCUUCUCUGCCUAACCCUUGGUAUGCCUGAAUCUGCCUCCCCAUUCAUGACCUCACUUCUGUGCCCCGACCCACGAUUCAAGCCUCUCCUUGGGAUCCUGUCGCCUGAUUCUGUCCUCUCGGCUUUGACCCUGUUUCUGUCUCCUGACCAUUACUUUCUGCUCAGUCACUGGGUUUGCAAACCUGACAGCCAGUGUGAUGUUGCCCUGCUGCCUCCUGAUGAUCACACGGAAGAGCCGAAAUUCUGUUUCCUGAUCCUGUCAUGGAUUUUGGAAAGAGGUUCCUGUGCCUACUGCUGGUGGUUUCUUGCCGAACAUCUUCCAGAAAGAUCAAUAAAUCUUUAAAUCUUA